GACGAACGCUGGCGGCGUGCUUAACACAUGCAAGUCGAACGGAAAGGCCCUGCUUUUGUGGGGUGCUCGAGUGGCGAACGGGUGAGUAACACGUGAGUAACCUGCCCUUGACUUUGGGAUAACUUCAGGAAACUGGGGCUAAUACCGGAUAGGAGCUCCUGCUGCAUGGUGGGGGUUGGAAAGUUUCGGCGGUUGGGGAUGGACUCGCGGCUUAUCAGCUUGUUGGUGGGGUAGUGGCUUACCAAGGCUUUGACGGGUAGCCGGCCUGAGAGGGUGACCGGCCACAUUGGGACUGAGAUACGGCCCAGACUCCUACGGGAGGCAGCAGUGGGGAAUAUUGCACAAUGGGCGGAAGCCUGAUGCAGCAACGCCGCGUGCGGGAUGACGGCCUUCGGGUUGUAAACCGCUUUCGCCUGUGACGAAGCGUGAGUGACGGUAAUGGGUAAAGAAGCACCGGCUAACUACGUGCCAGCAGCCGCGGUGAUACGUAGGGUGCGAGCGUUGUCCGGAUUUAUUGGGCGUAAAGGGCUCGUAGGUGGUUGAUCGCGUCGGAAGUGUAAUCUUGGGGCUUAACCCUGAGCGUGCUUUCGAUACGGGUUGACUUGAGGAAGGUAGGGGAGAAUGGAAUUCCUGGUGGAGCGGUGGAAUGCGCAGAUAUCAGGAGGAACACCAGUGGCGAAGGCGGUUCUCUGGGCCUUUCCUGACGCUGAGGUGCGAAAGCGUGGGGAGCGAACAGGCUUAGAUACCCUGGUAGUCCACGCUGUAAACGGUGGGUACUAGGUGUGGGGUCCAUUCCACGGGUUCCGUGCCGUAGCUAACGCUUUAAGUACCCCGCCUGGGGAGUACGGCCGCAAGGCUAAAACUCAAAGGAAUUGACGGGGCCCCGCACAAGCGGCGGAGCAUGCGGAUUAAUUCGAUGCAACGCGUAGAACCUUACCUGGGUUUGACAUGGAUCGGGAGUGCUCAGAGAUGGGUGUGCCUCUUUUGGGGUCGGUUCACAGGUGGUGCAUGGCUGUCGUCAGCUCGUGUCGUGAGAUGUUGGGUUAAGUCCCGCAACGAGCGCAACCCUUGUUCACUGUUGCCAGCACGUUAUGGUGGGGACUCAGUGGAGACCGCCGGGGUCAACUCGGAGGAAGGUGGGGAUGACGUCAAGUCAUCAUGCCCCUUAUGUCCAGGGCUUCACGCAUGCUACAAUGGCUGGUACAGAGAGUGGCGAGCCUGUGAGGGUGAGCGAAUCUCGGAAAGCCGGUCUCAGUUCGGAUUGGGGUCUGCAACUCGACCUCAUGAAGUCGGAGUCGCUAGUAAUCGCAGAUCAGCAACGCUGCGGUGAAUACGUUCCCGGG
rnacentral:rRNA from 1 species